GUGUCCUACGGGACGCAGCAGUGGGGAAUAUUGCACAAUGGGGGAAACCCUGAUGCAGCAACGCCGCGUGAAGGAAGACGGUUUUCGGAUUGUAAACUUCUGUUCUUAGUGAAGAAAAAUGACGGUAGCUAAGGAGCAAGCCACGGCUAACUACGUGCCAGCAGCCGCGGUAAUACGUAGGUGGCAAGCGUUGUCCGGAAUUACUGGGUGUAAAGGGAGCGCAGGCGGGAGGCCAAGUCAGCUGUGAAAACUAAGGGCUUAACUUGUAGACUGCAGUUGAAACUGGUUUUCUUGAGGGGAGUAGG
rnacentral:rRNA from 1 species